rnacentral:lncRNA from 1 species
CUGUUUCCAGGGUCCUUUUGUACAAGUGGAUGAACUGAUGGAAAUUUUCCGAAGAUGCAAGAUACCAAAUACUGUUGAGGAAGCUGUGAGGAUCAUUACUGGUGGGGCCCCAGAGCUAGCUGUAGAAGGCAACGGCCCCGUGGAAAGUAAUGCAGUACUCACCAAGGCCGUCAAAAGGCCCAACGAGGAUUCAGAUGAAGAUGAAGAAAAGGGAGCCGUUGUCCCCCCUGUUCAUGACAUUUACAGAGCACGGCAGCAGAAGCGGAUUCGGUAGGGUUUUAAACGCCUCUGCAGAAAACUCCUGUCCAGGAUUCCUUUUGCCUCAAGUGUUGCAGAACUCCACCAGUGGACACCGAGGUAGUGGGCGGCCAAGAGUCUGUGAAGCCAGUUAUUCAUGCAUCAAGAUUUCAAACGGUCCAAAUGGAACUCUGGCAAUGUAAGAACUCAGGAGGGGAAAAAUAUCUUGCAAGAAUCUACUCUUACAAAAGAAGAGUUUUUGAGAUUUAGGAAGAAUGACUGCAGGAAGUGGUGAUCAGCGCUGUGCAGUUGGGGUUAAGCUCCUCUCCUUCAGCCUUGGAGCGGCAGGAAAAGG